CUGAAUUAUUUUUAAACCCACCCAUUUACAAGGUUUGUAUCAUCGCACUUUAACCUAGUAUUAUAGCAGAGAGUUAUAGCAGUUUAACAUAUUUUAUAGCAUAUUAGAAUAACUAAAAACUUAAUAAAAGAUUUAGUUUCCUGGAGUUUAUGGGCGAAUUUAUUUCUCUAUUGAUAUCCAUUUUGAUCGUUAGGUACUGAACUGAGUAAUUCGGGAAUGCAUUUUUUAUAUUUUAAUUGGUCCUGUAAUUUAUUAUUAUUAUUAUUACUAUUAUUUUGUUUUUUUUUCGUGGUGUGGUUUUGGAGACAGGAUUUUGUAGGCCCGACUGCUGAUUUGUGGUUCCUUUUGAAAGUUAUUACUGAUGGUUUAGAUUAUAAUUCAUUGGCCCAUAUAAUUGAACUCUUUAUGAAUUUAGUAGAGUUUACUUGAAUUGUCAGUGGGAAACAAAACUUGUGGAUUGAGUGCAACUUGUGGGAAACAAAACUUGGGAAUUGAUUAGUAUUGCUUGCUGUUUCAUAUUCAUCUUCAUCUUUUUCGUGUACCUUGCUUUGAUGGUGGAAUUAGUCCACUCCUUUUGAGAUUUGAUGCCUAGUGGCAACUAUUUAUUGAACAUAUUGCAAUUUCAUGUAAAGUGUAGGUUUAGGGUCUGUUUAUGAUAAGUUUUAGUUCAUGUUAGAACUAUUAGAAUUCCUCACCAACUUAGAUUAUUCUAGAACAACUUUCUAGAACUUCUUUCUAGUAACAUCCUACAAAAUAUCUACCAUGAAGUUUCUAGGAAGAUACAAGUGUAUGGCUAGUAUUUAUUCUUCUAGAAACUUCUUAGUAAUGUAUGGCUAGGAUUAACUCUUCUACACACUUCCUAUCCCUCUUAAACAACUAUAAAUAGGGGUCUUGUGCUCUCAUUUGGGCAAGCAAGCAAGAAAGCAAGCAAGCAAGAAGUGAGCUUGAGAGCUUGAGUGUGUAGUGUAGUCUUGUGUGAGUGUCCACCAAAAUAAAGGAGUUGUGUGAAAGUGGGGUGUUCUUGUAAGAACAAGUAUUGUAUUCUCAAUUCUUUCAAUAAAAGUUUUCUUUGUGUAGAGGGUUGUAUUCUUCAAAUUUCAUCAGAACAUCUCAUAUCUCCGUUUAGAUUACCAUCUUUUGUUCUGGUUUGAAUCUUAUUUGGACAAUUUCAAUUGAUUUUUUGCCAGAAGUAAAAUUUGACCAAUUAUCUAAUGGAGUUAUUUGCAUAUUUAUUUUAGCCCUUUAUAAAUGCAGAGAACUGUUUUGUUAGUAGUUUUUUUUCUU